UGGCCAUUAUUAGAUACUUUGGAAAUCAAAAAUUGUCCAAAAAUAACAGUUUUCACAAAUGGGCAAUCAACUACUCCAGAGCUGAAGUUAAUAGAUACAACUUUUGGAUUGUGUCAUGCAACGGAAGACCCAAACUCUUUUAUAAAGACCAAACAACAAGAGGUACGUGGUGUCUCCUUUGGUUAUUAUUAACAGAUUAAUAUGUUUGAUCGAACAAAACGUUUACUUUACUCUCGAAUUUACAACUUGUUGUAAUCUCCUAAAGGGAUGGGAGUUCUAGAGCAACAUCAAAUUUACACGUGUGGUUUGGUUCGUUUUGAAGUUAGCUAUAUAGCACAGGUAAGAUUACAUCGUACACUUAUUUCCUUCUUCCCAAUCAUGUACAUGUUUCUCCACCUUAGUUAUCUGAUCAUUGAAUUGACUUUUUGUCACAGUUGCUUGCUUACUACUCUUUC
rnacentral:lncRNA from 1 species